rnacentral:rRNA from 1 species
UACAGAGGUCCCAAGCGUUGUUCGGAUUCACUGGGCGUAAAGGGUGCGUAGGUGGUGGAGUAAGUCGGAUGUGAAAGCUCGGAGCUCAACUCCGAAAUGGCAUUGGAAACUACUCCGCUAGAGGAUUGGAGGGGAGACUGGAAUGCUUGGUGUAGCAGUGAAAUGCGUAGAUAUCAAGCGGAACACCAGUGGCGAAGGCGAGUCUCUGGACAAUUCCUGACACUGAGGCACGAAAGCCAGGGGAGCAAACGGG